rnacentral:lncRNA from 8 species
AUGAAAGGGGCAGAUAUGUUACAUGGUAGAUACAGUAUGUUACAUGCUAGAUACAGUAUGUUACAUGGUAGAUACAGAAUGUUACAUGGUAGAUACAGAAUGUUACAUGGUAGAUACAGAAUGUUAAAUGGCAGAUACAGAAUGUUACAUGGUAGAUACAGUAUGUUACAUGGUAGAUACAGAAUGUUACAUGGUAGAUACAGUAUGUUACAUGCUAGAUACAGUAUGUUAAACGGCAGAUACAGAAUGUUACAUGGUAGAUACAGAAUGUUACAUGGUAGAUACAGUAUGUUACAUGGUAGAUACAGUAUGUUACAUGGUAGAUACAGGUUGUUACAUGGUAGAUACAGUAUGUUACAUGGUAGAUACAGUAUGUUACAUGGUAGAUACAGAAUGUUACAUGGUAGAUACAGAAUGUUACAUGGUAGAUACAGAAUUUUACAUGGUAGAUACAGUAUGUUACAUGGUAGAUACAGUAUGUUACAUGGCAGAUACAGUAUGUUAAAUGGUAGAUACAGUAUGUUACAUGGUAGAUACAGUAUGUUAAAUGGCAGAUACAGAAUGUUACAUGGUAGAUACAGUAUGUUACAUGGUAGAUACAGAAUGUUACAUGGUAGAUACAGUAUGUUACAUGGUAGAUACAGUAUGUUAAACGGCAGAUACAGAAUGUUACAUGGUAGAUACAGUAUGUUACAUGGUAGAUACAGUAUGUUACAUGGUAGAUACAGUAUGUUACAUGGUAGAUACAGUAUGUUAAACGGCAGAUACAGAAUGUUACAUGGUAGAUACAGGUUGUUACAUGGUAGAUACAGAAUGUUACAUGGUAGAUACAGUAUGUUACAUGGUAGAUACAGUAUGUUACAUGGUAGAUACAGGUUGUUACGUGGUAGAUACAGUAUGUUACAUGGUAGAUACAGGUUGUUACAUGGUAGAUACAGUAUGUUAAACGGCAGAUACAGUAUGUUACAUGGUAGAUACAGUAUGUUACAUGGUAGACAGUUUGGUUGCUCCUUUAGCUUUAAUAAAUCACAAACUACUUCCAUCUUAUUCAGUUUACCUUGUCAAAUACAUUAUAUAACAAGUAUAUAA